GUGGGGAAUCUUGCACAAUGGGGGAAACCCUGAUGCAGCGACGCCGCGUGAACGAUGAAGCCCUUCGGGGUGUAAAGUUCUUUCGACAGGAACGAUUAUGACGGUACCUGGAGAAGAAGCUGCGGCUAACUACGUGCCAGCAGCCGCGGUAAUACGUAGGCAGCAAACGUUGUUCGGAGUUACUGGGCGUAAAGAGUAUGUAGGUGGUUUGCUAAGUUUGGUGUGAAAUCUCCCGGCUCAACUGGGAGGGUGCGCCGAAUACUGGUGAACUUGAGUGUGGGAGAGGGAAGCGGAAUUUCUGGUGUAGCGGUGAAAUGCGUAGAUAUCAGAAGGAACACCGGUGGUGUAGACGGCUUCCUGGACCACAACUGACACUGAGAUACGAAAGCGUGGGGAGCAAACAGGAUUAGAAACCCUUGUAGUCC
rnacentral:rRNA from 1 species